ACGCACGCUGGCGGCGUGCUUCACCCCUGCCAGUCGCACGGAAAGGCCCUGCUUUUGUGGGGUGCUCGAGUGGCGAACGGGUGAGUAACACGUGAGUAACCUGCCCUUGACUUUGGGAUAACUUCAGGAAACUGGGGCUAAUACCGGAUAGGAGCUCCUGCUGCAUGGUGGGGGUUGGAAAGUUUCGGCGGUUGGGGAUGGACUCGCGGCUUAUCAGCUUGUUGGUGGGGUAGUGGCUUACCAAGGCUUUGACGGGUAGCCGGCCUGAGAGGGUGACCGGCCACAUUGGGACUGAGAUACGGCCCAGACUCCUACGGGAGGCAGCAGUGGGGAAUAUUGCACAGUGGGCGGAAGCCUGAUGCAGCAACGCCGCGUGCGGGAUGACGGCCUUCGGGUUGUAAACCGCUUUCGCCUGUGACGAAGCGUGAGUGACGGUAAUGGGUAAAGAAGCACCGGCUAACUACGUG
rnacentral:rRNA from 1 species